ACUCAAGAAAGAGGAAGAGGCGGGCUUUUCCGACCCCCACGCCCCUGGGAUGGUAAAGCUGCAGCCCACCUCGUCCUGGGGCAGAGUCUCCUUGCCUGCCUGCUUGCAUCGCUCACCAGCGUCCUAUCCUAACACCUCUGUUUCGUGCCCAUCACUUUGUCUCUCGCUGAAUUCCUUCUGCGUGGAGACAUAGAGAACCUCAACCUCAGUGAGUCCAGACGCAGGGGAUGUAUGAUUGUCAGCACCUCCACUUUACAGAAGAGGACACCUGGGUAUGAUGAUAAGCUGCCCAAGGUCCCAUAUCUGGUGCUUCAUAAUCCUGGCAAAGCCACUAAGCUGAGCAGAGCUGCAGAAAUUCCCUGGCUUUCCUACUGGAAGAUGUCGAUCAAUGAGGGCGCUCGCGGCCUUUGAUGUCAGGCAUCCACGCCCGCUUCUGUAAAGACUUUCGGCUCCACAAGAGAACGGGAAGUCACUGUGAAGAAAGAGGCAGGCGAUGUAACCGGAAAAGCGCGGGUUUGAUGUCAAACAGACCUGCGUGGUUCCACCGCUUUCCGACUGUGUGACACCUCCCCCCACCCCCACCGGCCCAGUUGCUCUUUGAACCCAAGUCUUGGAAAAUGGAACCAAUAAUACCUGUUCUUCAAGACUGUUUCUGCUGGAAGCUCCAAGAUUCAUCUGAAGGCGUGAUCACAUCCUCGAUGUUGAGUGGACCAUGAGCCGGCUGCCAGAGACAGGGUUCCAAGCCGGGCCAGGCCCAUCCCAAUGCCCACCCGAAAAGACGGGACAGGGGAAAGAAAGAAACAAAAUCCUGGGGCUCCAUUGGCUUUCUUUUUGACUCCAGCUGAAGUUGCUGCAUAGUGUGGCCUUGCCAGUCCUCGCCUUGAAAAGGCUGGAAGCGACUGACGUGAUGGAUCAUCUAAUCCCACAGCCUCAUUUUGCAGAGGACCCCGAGCCUCGACUUGGCCAAGGUCACACAGCUGGGCCACACCCAUGGCGUAUGGUUUUCAUAUGGAAUCGGAGCUGCAGUUGCCGGCCUAUGCCACAGCCACAGCAAGGUAGGAUCUGAACCAAGUCUUUGACCUACACCACAUCUCAUGGCAAUUCCAGAUCCCUGGACCCACUGAGUGAGGCCAGGGAUUGAACACGCACCCUUAUGGAUACUAGUUGGAUCACAACGGAACUCCCUGAAAAAUCAAGGUCUUUAAAGCAAUUCAUCAACCCCACCAACAUCUUGGCAUAAGAAAAUUGAUUCUGUAAGUCAAAAGAACUUAUAACAUGGUAUAUUGGGAGGAUGGCAGGGCUUGGUAAGUGGUAGCAACGCAGCUGGUAGAUUUUUCUUUGUUGUGUCCUUGUCCUUACGCUCUUUUUAGCCACAUUUUCAUUCAGGAUUCUUGGGUUGGAAGCAACAGAAAUGGACUCUUUUGGCCUUAAGCAAAAAGAAAAUUUGUUGAAAGGGCAUGGAGGAGUUCAUAGGAUUGACUAGAAGUUUGGAGAAGUAGGCUCAGGAGUCAAGGCAUUUAUAGAGGAGGGUAGGGUAGAGAGGUGAUAAAAAUAAUGCAACAGUCUUAUUUGGAAAUUGUACUGGCAUGUAAGAGUUUCAUCUUUCCUCCUCCCUUCCCCUCUCUCUCUUUCUGCCACUUCAUUCGAGAUUCCAAUUUCAGCGAAGGAGCAUCCAAUUGGCCUGUCUUGGUCAGAUUCCCACCACCCCCAUGGUUAGGGGAACACAGCAUAUUCGAAAUGGCAUUCCCACGAGGUACAUUCCAUGGAAAAGUAAUACCACAAAGAAAAUACGGACACAGUUAUCAAAGGAAGAUAAAACAGGUGCUGGGUAGCCAACAAUAGCCUAUUUCCACUAUAUCCUUUAAAAAAAAUCCCAGUAACUCUUCUAUGAUUACUGAUGUUUCAGGAGAGAAAUUUAACGAUGGAAGAGUGUAUACAUAGUGAUGAAAAGAAUGGGAGGAUUUAUAAGAUACAAGUCAUUUUCUUUGAGUUGUGGGACAAUGGUUGGGUCCAUUUUUCUUCUGUUGUUUUUUCCUAUAGAGCACAUUUAUAACCUUUUAAAAGUAAACUGUAUUUUCUACUUUAAGAUGAGUGAAAUGAGGGGGGAGUGUCCUUUUGACUGGGGACAUAGUCACUAGUUAGUCUAUGUUAAAAACAGAAGCAUACGUUCCUCUCGAGGGGCAACAGUGUUCUUAUACAUUAAACUCUCAACAGAAACCAAAAGAACCACCACCAAAAAAAUCCCACCCAGUUUGGAAAGGACUUGUGCUUGUGGGUCGGGGGCAGAAGGAAGCAAUUUCCCUCCAUUUUCUGCCUGAGCAGGCCUUUUGCACUUUGAUAUUCGUUUCACUAAUAAGGUGUUUCAUUAUUUCUCCCACAAAAAGAGCUGGUGCUGUUAUGAGAUGCUGUUGAAGACUCUGGUUUGCCCAGAUGUGCCGCAGUGAAAACAGCCUUUCUCUGACGUGCAUGACUUGUGAGGAUGAUGGGACCUGUGGGAAGAGGGGAUCCUUUUUCAGAGUUUGGAAAGAGAGGCAAAAUAACGCCAUCUGCCCUGCAUGGAUGACAGAAACACGUUCUUCCCUAAUCAGUGGGUCACUCACUUCCGCACUAUGUUGCAGGGAAGCAUCAUCUGAUUCCAAGCCUAAGGCUGGGUCAUCCGCGGCACUGACUUCUCCCGACCCUUCUCCGAGCUUCCCGUGCCAGUUUUCAUCAUCAAAUUUCUCUGCUCCCUUGGACCAGCGGAAAAGAAGUUAUGAGCUCUCUCCAUCAUUCGCCGGUCUCUUCGGCCCUUCCUCCUUUGAAGUUUUCUUAUUCGGGGUCUUUUUUUCGCUUCUUCUCCAUGUUUCAUCCUCUCUCACUGUAACCUUUUUAUCUCUGGAGAGUUCUCUCUGUGCCUCUGGGCCCUUCUCUUUCUAGUUGGUUCUCAGAACCCAUUCUGGGAUUCUAUUUCAGUCCAUCCGUCUCUCCAACAGACCACGGGUGAAACCAGGGCCGGUAAUCAGUCCCAGCUGCUGGAGGCGUCCGCUCUGGGUCGGCCCCACGUUUGUGGGCUGAUGUUUUGCUUCCCAUAAUGCUCUGGGAGUUCUGCUGCUCAGAGCUUGGCUUGUGCUUUUUCUUCUCCUGCCAAGGGGCCCUGCUUCCAAAACCCAGAUUAGAAAACAUGG
rnacentral:lncRNA from 1 species